GCCGCGGGGCGGCCUGGCACGGGAGAAGGGGAAGGAAUAAUGAGCGAAUGUUUUAUAUGUGCUUAAAAUUUUGAGGUUUCUCAUUGUGCCGUUUUGCGGUCCUGCCUCAGGAGAGCCUCUGGAAAUGGAAAUGGAGAACCCCGGCGGCACCUGCGAAGUUCUCUGUUGUUCCUCCUCCAUCCAGAGCCGCCCGCCGGGCAAGCUGCAGGAUGGAACGCUGCUGCUCCAUGGAUUUAUUUGGGAAUUAGUUCUUGGAAUGGUGGUUUCCUGAGAAAAACAAGCUCAUAAGACUUUGGAACAGUCUCUCUCAUGGUUUCUGUGUGUGCAGAAUUGGCAGACCAGCACAGUACAUAAUAAGAACGAAGUUCAAUCUGUAGUGGUUUUAUAACCUAUGUUUUUAAGAGUCUGUAAUCAUUUUUCUCAAAAUAUAUAAACAGAAAUCUUUGUAAAGCUCUUUCCUCUGGCUGUACCAUGGUGUACAUGUAAUUUGGGGAUUUUCAGCCACAAAUACAGUAACAGUAACAAAAUAUAUUUAAAGCCCAUUAGCUUCAGUCGUGUUUUUUCUGAAUGAUUUUUAAAAAAUCAUGGUGCUGAUCUUACAUUGAGAUCCAUUUACACACAGCUCUCAUUGAAGGCCCAGGACCUGCAGUUACUAUGAUUCCAUUCUGUGUCUAAUCACACUCCCAUUUUACAUAAAAUAAAGGUAGGACUUCAAGGUCAGCAAUUUAAGAAUUAAUAAUAAUAUUUGUAAAUAUCUUCAAAAUCCUAUUCAAUAGGAAUUUGAAAACCUCAAAAAUGCAAAGAUCUGGAGAGUUUACCCUCUGCAAAUUGGAUGGCACCACGAAGGAUGAGGUACAAAGUUGUGGCUGUGAUUUAAGAACCUGCACUUAUUUGCAUUGUAGUAAUUUGUGCCCUCUGACCAUACCUUUUAAAUUCAAGGAGUCUGAUAAUAGACACAAGCAAGAAAAUACAGGCAGGUAUUUCAAACAGCAUGUGUAGAGAGAACAGUAACAUGUAGCUCUUGUUGAAAAUUCAGUCUGCAGAACUGGGAUUUUAAGGAGAGAUACUGGCAAAAGAAUCAGGCUCAUCUGAUCUGCACAGGGGAAAAUGUCAGCCUGAAGGGAAGCAUCUUCUAGAACAAAAUCUACAUUUCCAGAGAACUUCCUUAAACUGAAACAAGCUGCAAGAUGGGCUCGUUUCUUACAAUGUAAACUUGGCAGAAUUUCCCUAACUGAUGGCCUCCCCUUGGGAAAACAAGAGACCAGGAGGGCUGGAUCACAGACCUGCAAACCAGGCUUGGGCAAGGAAUUCCUCUGGGAACUUGGCAAGUGCUCUUACUGUGAAUACAGGCAAAGAGGACACGUAAUUUAACAACUUUGCUAUCCCUCUAUAUGAAAAAAAGAUCUAGUGCUUUUCCUGCUGGUUUGUGUUGCCCCUGUGACACCACUAAUGCAGGUAGGGCAGAGUCAGCUUCCUGGCCAUUGCAGCAGGAGCAGAAUCAUUGAUUGUGCUUCCUGAAUUUCUAUUAAUUUUCAUAUUGAAGUCAGCAAUAGUAACUUUUAAUAGUCAAUGGGCCAGGCUGACAACUAGUAAAUAGAGAGAUCUGUAUUGAAAUUGUAAAACAAACAUGGUAUAAAAAUCAGGAAGCCCCAUUGCUUUUCUCCCAAACACCUUCCAGAGUAAAAACCUUAUUUCAGCCUCUCUGCUUGUGAAUUGCAAGAGGUGGAGUUUGUGUGUAAUGUCUAAAAAUACUUGUGAAGGAAUUUACCUGAAUUGUGUGAUCAGUGCUGAUUACACAAAGAAAGCCUUCUGCACACAGCUGGCCUGCCAGGACCCAGGAGGAGGAGUGGUGU